AUUGAACGCUGGCGGCAGGCCUAACACAUGCAAGUCGAGCGAGUGGCGGACGGGUGAGUAAUGUAUGGGAAACUGCCUGAUGGAGGGGGAUAACUACUGGAAACGGUGGCUAAUACCGCAUACUAUCAGAUGUGCCCAUAUGGGAUUAGCUAGUUGGUGGGGUAACGGCUCACCAAGGCGACGAUCCCUAGCUGGUCUGAGAGGAUGAUCAGCCACACUGGGACUGAGACACGGCCCAGACUCCUACGGGAGGCAGCAGUGGGGAAUAUUGCACAAUGGGCGCAAGCCUGAUGCAGCCAUGCCGCGUGUAUGAAGAAGGCCUUAGGGUUGUAAAGUACUUUCAGCGGGGAGGCGUUACCCGCAGAAGAAGCACCGGCUAACUCCGUGCCAGCAGCCGCGGUAAUAC
rnacentral:rRNA from 1 species